UUAAGUCCCGCAACCGAGACGCAACCCUAUCAUCUGUUGCCAGCAUUUAAGGUGGGGACUCAGAUGAGACUGCCGGUGACAAACCGGAGGAAGGUGGGGACGACGUCAAGUCAUCAUGGCCCUUAUGUCCUGGGCUACACACGUGCUACAAUGGCCGGUACAGAGUGAAGCGAAACCGCGAGGUGAAGCAAAACGCAGAAAGCCGGUCUCAGUACGGAUUGGAGUCUGAAACUCGACUUCAUGAAGUUGGAAUCGCUAGUAAUCGCGCAUCAGCAUGGCGCGGUGAAUACGUUCCCGGGCCUU
rnacentral:rRNA from 1 species